rnacentral:rRNA from 1 species
AUGCCUUGGCACUAGAAGCCGAUGAAGGACGUUACUAACGACGAUAUGCUUUGGGGAGCUGUAAGUAAGCUUUGAUCCAGAGAUUUCCGAAUGGGGAAACCCAGCAUGAGUUAUGUCAUGUUAUCGAUAUGUGAAUACAUAGCAUAUCAGAAGGCACACCCGGAGAACUGAAACAUCUUAGUACCCGGAGGAAGAGAAAGAAAAUUCGAUUCCCUUAGUAGCGGCGAGCGAAACGGGAAGAGCCCAAACCAACAAGCUUGCUUGUUGGGGUUGUAGGACACUCUAUACGGAGUUACAAAGGACGACAUUAGACGAAUCAUCUGGAAAGAUGAAUCAAAGAAGGUAAUAAUCCUGUAGUCGAAAAUGUUGUCUCUCUUGAGUGGAUCCUGAGUACGACGGAGCACGUGAAAUUCCGUCGGAAUCUGGGAGGACCAUCUCCUAAGGCUAAAUACUCUCUAGUGACCGAUAGUGAACCAGUACCGUGAGGGAAAGGUGAAAAGCACCCCGGAAGGGGAGUGAAAUAGAACCUGAAACCGUGUGCUUACAAGUAGUCAGAGCCCGUUAAUGGGUGAUGGCGUGCCUUUUGUAGAAUGAACCGGCGAGUUACGAUUUGAUGCAAGGUUAAGCAGUAAAUGUGGAGCCGUAGCGAAAGCGAGUCUGAAUAGGGCGUUUAGUAUUUGGUCGUAGACCCGAAACCAGGUGAUCUACCCUUGGUCAGGUUGAAGUUCAGGUAACACUGAAUGGAGGACCGAACCGACUUACGUUGAAAAGUGAGCGGAUGAACUGAGGGUAGCGGAGAAAUUCCAAUCGAACCUGGAGAUAGCUGGUUCUCUCCGAAAUAGCUUUAGGGCUAGCCUCAAGUGAUGAUUAUUGGAGGUAGAGCACUGUUUGGACGAGGGGCCCCUCUCGGGUUACCGAAUUCAGACAAACUCCGAAUGCCAAUUAAUUUAACUUGGGAGUCAGAACAUGGGUGAUAAGGUCCGUGUUCGAAAGGGAAACAGCCCAGACCACCAGCUAAGGUCCCAAAAUAUAUGUUAAGUGGAAAAGGAUGUGGCGUUGCCCAGACAACUAGGAUGUUGGCUUAGAAGCAGCCAUCAUUUAAAGAGUGCGUAAUAGCUCACUAGUCGAGUGACACUGCGCCGAAAAUGUACCGGGGCUAAACAUAUUACCGAAGCUGUGGAUUGUCCUUUGGACAAUGGUAGGAGAGCGUUCUAAGGGCGUUGAAGCAUGAUCGUAAGGACAUGUGGAGCGCUUAGAAGUGAGAAUGCCGGUGUGAGUAGCGAAAGACGGGUGAGAAUCCCGUCCACCGAUUGACUAAGGUUUCCAGAGGAAGGCUCGUCCGCUCUGGGUUAGUCGGGUCCUAAGCUGAGGCCGACAGGCGUAGGCGAUGGAUAACAGGUUGAUAUUCCUGUACCACCUAUAAUCGUUUUAAUCGAUGGGGGGACGCAGUAGGAUAGGCGAAGCGUGCGAUUGGAUUGCACGUCUAAGCAGUAAGGCUGAGUAUUAGGCAAAUCCGGUACUCGUUAAGGCUGAGCUGUGAUGGGGAGAAGACAUUGUGUCUUCGAGUCGUUGAUUUCACACUGCCGAGAAAAGCCUCUAGAUAGAAAAUAGGUGCCCGUACCGCAAACCGACACAGGUAGUCAAGAUGAGAAUUCUAAGGUGAGCGAGCGAACUCUCGUUAAGGAACUCGGCAAAAUGACCCCGUAACUUCGGGAGAAGGGGUGCUCUUUAGGGUUAACGCCCAGAAGAGCCGCAGUGAAUAGGCCCAAGCGACUGUUUAUCAAAAACACAGGUCUCUGCUAAACCGUAAGGUGAUGUAUAGGGGCUGACGCCUGCCCGGUGCUGGAAGGUUAAGAGGAGUGGUUAGCUUCUGCGAAGCUACGAAUCGAAGCCCCAGUAAACGGCGGCCGUAACUAUAACGGUCCUAAGGUAGCGAAAUUCCUUGUCGGGUAAGUUCCGACCCGCACGAAAGGCGUAACGAUUUGGGCACUGUCUCAACGAGAGACUCGGUGAAAUCAUAGUACCUGUGAAGAUGCAGGUUACCCGCGACAGGACGGAAAGACCCCGUGGAGCUUUACUGUAGCCUGAUAUUGAAAUUCGGCACAGCUUGUACAGGAUAGGUAGGAGCCUUUGAAACGUGAGCGCUAGCUUACGUGGAGGCGCUGGUGGGAUACUACCCUAGCUGUGUUGGCUUUCUAACCCGCACCACUUAUCGUGGUGGGAGACAGUGUCAGGCGGGCAGUUUGACUGGGGCGGUCGCCUCCUAAAAGGUAACGGAGGCGCUCAAAGGUUCCCUCAGAAUGGUUGGAAAUCAUUCAUAGAGUGUAAAGGCAUAAGGGAGCUUGACUGCGAGACCUACAAGUCGAGCAGGGUCGAAAGACGGACUUAGUGAUCCGGUGGUUCCGCAUGGAAGGGCCAUCGCUCAACGGAUAAAAGCUACCCCGGGGAUAACAGGCUUAUCUCCCCCAAGAGUUCACAUCGACGGGGAGGUUUGGCACCUCGAUGUCGGCUCAUCGCAUCCUGGGGCUGUAGUCGGUCCCAAGGGUUGGGCUGUUCGCCCAUUAAAGCGGUACGCGAGCUGGGUUCAGAACGUCGUGAGACAGUUCGGUCCCUAUCCGUCGUGGGCGUAGGAAAUUUGAGAGGAGCUGUCCUUAGUACGAGAGGACCGGGAUGGACAUACCUCUGGUGUACCAGUUGUCGUGCCAACGGCAUAGCUGGGUAGCUAUGUGUGGACGGGAUAAGUGCUGAAAGCAUCUAAGCAUGAAGCCCCCCUCAAGAUGAGAUUUCCCAACUUCGGUUAUAAGAUCCCUCAAAGAUGAUGAGGUUAAUAGGUUCGAGGUGGAAGCAUGGUGACAUGUGGAGCUGACGAAUACUAAUCGAUCGAAGACUUAAUCAA